UGUUGUAUAUGAUCAACGGCUCAAGAAACUGCAAAGGAAGUCCCGCACACAAACAGCACCUCUUUCAACACAGACUCUAGUCUGCUAAUGACAAACCAACUCUUGCUGAAAGAGAUUGAAAAAGGGUCAAGUUUUGUGUCAUCUCCUUUGUCAUUCCAUUUGACUUUGAGCCUUGUCGCUGCAGGAUCAACAGGCAAGACUUUAGAGCAGCUUCUUUCUUUUCUGGGGACAGAGUAUUUGGGAACUCAAACAGUUGGCAUCAUAUAUUGCCAGGAUUACGCUGCCUGCCGAGGAAGAAAAAACUGGAAAGAAACGUGCCAGAACAUCAGAUCCAACGUUGUUGUUCUUUAGUUGUGUUUGGGUCGAUCAAUGUUACGUUGUUGAAGAGAGGUCUACAAUGCUGAAGCUGAAGUUGACUUUCUAAAAAAGCCUGAUGGAGCAAGAGAAGAGGUGAGUUUGUGGGCUGAAAGAAAGACGAGAGGAUUGAUCAAGGAAGUCCUCCCACCUGGAUCUGUAAAUAACGAUGUUGCACUGAUCCUUGCCAACGCAUUAUACUUAAA